GGCGUGGCUCCGCCUAUUCCCACCCACCUGCCAAUCAUCUCAAAUUGCACGGGUGGCUUGGGGAGGCGGGUCAGUGGAAUCCAGGGCAAAAUGGCGCUUCUAAGCUUCUCGGCGGGACGUGAAUCCACAAACAUCUCGGGGGUGGAAAAGGUCAUAAACAGAAAACCUGCCGCACCUCUGAAUUUUUACAGAUUUCAGUGAUUUGGUUCCAAUCCAGAAACUAUCUCGAGGCAAUAAAAACGCUGCUGAAUGGUAACCGAGAAACACGGCUAAACUCUCAGCGAGCUACUUUGACAGUACCAGAGGUUCUCACACACAGUGACAGCUAGCAGCGUCCAAAGUGCUGACAUGAUGGCUUAGAGAUGUGAUAAAGAGAAACACCGUCGGCAUUUUCUGCUGAGAAGACAAAGAUGAAAAACACACGGAUCCUGAUUUCAAGAUGGCCAUAGGCUAGUGAGGGGAGAGAGCUGCCAUAGGAGGUGCUGGGAAGCCGCACAAUUAGCUGCCUAUCUGGAAACCUUGCAGUGGUCUGAGAAACAGCAAGUCCUUCCCAAGUGCAGGGAGCUUGCAGCAGCAAUUAGAUUUGGGGACAAUGAGAGAUCAUACACAUUUCUGGCUUCUCGUCACAAGGCUUUCUUAUUUGUUUGAUGUGGAUUCCAGUAAAUCUGCCACACCCAUAUUCAAAUGCUAAGCGAUUUUGCUGGUGUUUGAUUAGGAAGCACGCUCUGUGUUCGCUCAAAACCAGAAUUCUUACAAAUGAUUGCAUUUUCCAAACUUAUCCCUCAAAGACCAUUGCAAGUGUCAUCUCCUAGGUGAAGCUUCCUACACUGCCCCCCACUCCAACUGAAAUUGUUACCUUUGGGAGCUCCCAGAGACCUGGGUUGGUCCUCAUUAUAGCCUAUACUUCCAUUUAUUGUACUGUGGCUAAUUGUGGAUGUAUUUCUCUUCCCUUUUCUGUUGUGAGCUCCUUGAAGAAAUGUGACCUCCAUUCAUCUUUGAUUUUCCAGCACCUAGCACAGUGUCUGGCAGAAAGCAAGCGUUAAGUAAAAUUUCAGAUGACUGAAGAGCUGACUGACAGAUUGAACGUGGGGUGUCUCAGCUUUUAGUUGACAAUGGACUCAUUUUCCCUGGGACAGGUUUUUCUGAGCACAUCUUCCCUUGGUCUUCCUCUCCCACUCUCGCUAUGCCAGUGGAUCCUGGUGAAAGUCUAAAAAUUCUUUUGUGCUAAAGUACAUAUUGAUUUUUAUUUUGAUAUGAAAGCAGCAUUUGCAUGUGUAUCUGUAAAACUGUGAGGAAUACAAAAAGACCCAAAGAAAAUAA